CCCCAAUGGGUUCUCCGGAUUUCUGGAGACUUGUAGGGGUUGUGGGCUUUUUUCGAUGUGUCGUCUCCGGACGGGCGGUGCAGGGUAGUCGAGUUAGACUUGGUGGAAUUCCGUCGAUAGGAGUUCCGUCGAGUCUGGUCGGCUGUGUGUUGGACGGUGCAGGGUAGGCUGCUUGGACAUGGUCGGUUCGAGGACCGAUUCGAGGGCCGGCCUGUCGAUGAUGUGUGAUGUAUGCGGUCUAGGGUAGGCUGGUUUGUCUUGGUUCAAUUUGAUGUCGGCUCCCGUGCAGGCCAGAGUGAAGGGGGGUCCAGGGUAGGUACAGGGUAGGCAGCUUAGAUUUGGUCGAUCUGGAGGUCGAUUCUCCGGCUGGCGGAUCUGACACUGUCGAAACGAGAUGCGAGCGGUGUAGGGUAGGCUAGUUUCGUCCUCGCCAGGUUGCGAUUCGGACGAGAUAUGUGGUCUAGGGUAGGCUCUAGGGUAAGUAGAACUCUAGUUUCGUCGCCGACAGUUUUCUUUGGGUGUAUGGUAGGUACAGGGUAGGCAAAUCUCUCUCCGGCCGGUACUUGUCUGGUGGUCGUGAGUCGAUUUUUUUGUUUUGCCAUACUAUUGAAUUUUGCGGAAAUUCAAAAGUGGCUCGGGAGUCCCGUCUGGCGUGCGUCCGACUCGAACAUCGUCGGUAUACAUAUGAGAGGGAGUAAUCCGGCCCGGCCGGGGCCCAUCGCGAGCUGCCGGGUAGGUAAAAGUAAAAAAGUUGUUAAGAGGCGCGGUGUCGGCGUGCUUGUAUUUGCGGGAGAGAAUUAUCUGGAGGUGCUGGGUAGCCGGGAAGACUUGGACGGAUCUGGCCCGGGAAUGGGUCUGGGCCUGGAUUCUGGAGUGGUGUAGGGUAGGCGUAGAUAGAUGAGUGGUCUAGGGUAGAUACAGGGUAGCCAGAAGUCUAGUAUAUAGUAUGGGGGUGUAGGGUAGGUCUGGACACCGUUUUCCACUUCGCCCUUCCCUUUACUCGAGGGAGGACGAUCUUGGCUGGGACGGCGGUGUAGGGUAGGCUUAAUUAACGAUUACAUGAUCUGUGUCACUCUAGGGUAGGUGAAAAUCCCAUAUAUAUCUGAUCACAUUUGGUGAAGAGGUGGUUUGGCUGGUGAGAUGGACAAAAGUGCAAUGUAGAAUUAUAUGUGAUUUUG
rnacentral:misc_RNA from 1 species